ACGGAGGGAGCUAGCGUUGUUCGGAAUUACUGGGCGUAAGCGCACGUAGGCGGCCAUUCAAGUCAGAGGUGAAAGCCCGGGGCUCAACCCCGGAACUGCCUUUGAAACUAGAUGGCUUGAAUCUUGGAGAGGCGAGUGGAAUUCCGAGUGUAGAGGUGAAAUUCGUAGAUAUUCGGAAGAACACCAGUGGCGAAGGCGACUCGCUGGACAAGUAUUGACGCUGAGGUGCGAAAGCGUGGGGAGCAAACAGG
rnacentral:rRNA from 1 species